UUACGGCCAUAUCCAAUUGAAAUACCGGAUCCCGUACGAUCACUGGAGUUAAGCAACGUUAGGCCUGGUCCAUACCAAGAUGAGAGACUGCUUACGAAAACGAGGUG